rnacentral:rRNA from 1 species
GGCUUAGAGUUUGAUCAUGGCUCAGGAUGAACGCUGGCGGCGUGCCUAACACAUGCAAGUCGAGCGAUUUACUUCGGUAAAGAGCGGCGGACGGGUGAGUAACGCGUGGGUAACCUGCCCUGUACACACGGAUAACAUACCGAAAGGUAUGCUAAUACGAGAUAAUAUGCUUUUAUCGCAUGGUAGAAGUAUCAAAGCUUUUGCGGUACAGGAUGGACCCGCGUCUGAUUAGCUAGUUGGUAAGGUAACGGCUUACCAAGGCGACGAUCAGUAGCCGACCUGAGAGGGUGAUCGGCCACAUUGGAACUGAGACACGGUCCAAACUCCUACGGGAGGCAGCAGUGGAGAAUAUUGCACAAUGGGCGAAAGCCUGAUGCAGCAACGCCGCGUGAGCGAUGAAGGCCUUCGGGUCGUAAAGCUCUGUCCUCAAGGAAGAUAAUGACGGUACUUGAGGAGGAAGCCCCGGCUAACUACGUGCCAGCAGCCGCGGUAAUACGUAGGGGGCUAGCGUUAUCCGGAAUUACUGGGCGUAAAGGGUGCGUAGGUGGUUUCUUAAGUCAGAGGUGAAAGGCUACGGCUCAACCGUAGUAAGCCUUUGAACUGGGAAACUUGAGUGCAGGAGAGGAGAGUG